UAUACACAGUCCCAUAAGUUCCCUGAGCAAUAACAUGCCUUAUUUCCAGUUUACUCAAAUCAAUCUCCCACUCCUCCCUUCUCGUCUGCACUUCCCUGUCCCUCGACCAAGCACGACUGAGGUGCUUAUCUAGUUGGAUAUCCCAGCUCUUGAAAUCAAUUUUAUCUGCUCUAAAAUACGUUUCUCUAUUGCUAAUACUACCCACAUCCUUCACCUUUGAACUCAAGCUCUUCUCUCCGGCGUUUGAAGUAACAUCUACUUCAUGGGUAUUGAAUUCCUCGGUUUUUAAACCUUGUUCGACUUCCUUGCGAUUGUAUGAUUCCAUUUUUAAAUUUCUUUACUGUAUAUGAACUCUGAUAACUAACUGAAGAAGAAGAAUUAAGAGUUAACAGAAAAUUUACUGAUAAACAAUCUGCUUCUUGAACCUAUAAAACAAAGUAGGCAAAAAGAAAACCUGAUUUACCUAUCAAAGUUCUAAUUAAAAAC
rnacentral:misc_RNA from 1 species